rnacentral:rRNA from 1 species
CAGCAGCCACGGGAAUACGAAGGGUGCAAGCGUUACUCGGAAUUACUGGGCGUAAAGCGUGCGUAGGUGGUGGUUUAAGUCCGUUGUGAAAGCCCUGGGCUCAACCUGGGAAUUGCAGUGGAUACUGGGUCACUAGAGUGUGGUAGAGGAUAGUGGAAUUUCCGGUGUAGCAGUGAAAUGCGUAGAGAUCGGAAGGAACAUCUGUGGCGAAGGCGACUAUCUGGGCCAACACUGACACUGAGGCACGAAAGCGUGGGGAGCAAACAGGAUUAAAUACCCCCGUAGUCCCUGUCUCUUAUAC